GCCCAAGUGGUUGCGUGGUGGUCCCAAGGUGGUGGAGUCCCCUCACUUUUCCUGCUGUAGUACAUUGGGUGUUUGUCUUUUGGAUUGAAGUAAUCACGUGUGGUGUGGAUCUUCCGGGCCUUAACCCCUCGCACCCCGAGAUCUCUUUCUACAGACUGCUGUCUAACGAGGAUCAGGUGAGGGGCGGAGACACAGGCACAAGGAACAGAAACACAAACAAAGGAGCACAUGGCACAAGACACAGGAAGUAAACAAAGCAAACAGGAAGACACAAGAGGAGCAGACGUGGAAAAACACUAGACAAGGAAAACAAGACAGGAACAGAUCCUUACAAGUGCAUUCCCUCUAUAUUGUAUCGGAGUUAGACUUUUUAGCAAAAGACGCUAAUUUAGUUUGUUUAUUAUUGAACUUCUCAACUGUUGGGGGACCCCAAGAGCGAAGCUUCUUUAGUGCUGCUUUAAUUAAUUCUAAGGGACAUCUAGGUAGGCUAAUGCAAGCUAUGGUACAAACUUUGUAGAAUGGUACAAGUCUACAAAUCUAUAUUCUAUUAUAGUGUUAUGUGUAUGGAAUGCUUUUCUUUUAGCCAAAUAAUUAUAAUAAAAUGUAAGUGUGACCUUUGUUGUAACGGAUAAGUAAUAAUAAACUAGAAAAUUUAA